GAUGAACGCUGGCGGCGUGCCUAAUACAUGCAAGUCGAGCGAACAGACGAGGAGCUUGCUCCUCUGACGUUAGCGGCGGACGGGUGAGUAACACGUGGAUAACCUACCUAUAAGACUGGGAUAACUUCGGGAAACCGGAGCUAAUACCGGAUAAUAUAUUGAACCGCAUGGUUCAAUAGUGAAAGACGGUUUUGCUGUCACUUAUAGAUGGAUCCGCGCCGCAUUAGCUAGUUGGUAAGGUAACGGCUUACCAAGGCAACGAUGCGUAGCCGACCUGAGAGGGUGAUCGGCCACACUGGAACUGAGACACGGUCCAGACUCCUACGGGAGGCAGCAGUAGGGAAUCUUCCGCAAUGGGCGAAAGCCUGACGGAGCAACGCCGCGUGAAUGAUGAAGGUCUUCGGAUCGUAAAACUCUGUUAUUAGGGAAGAACAAAUGUGUAAGUAACUAUGCACGUCUUGACGGUACCUAAUCAGAAAGCCGCGGCUAACUACGUG
rnacentral:rRNA from 1 species